rnacentral:lncRNA from 1 species
AAUUUUUUACAAAAGAAUUAAUUUACUGUUUGAUUUAAUGUAUAAGAAUUAAUUUAUCAUUUUUUGAGUAGAGGAGAGAAAAUGCAAUAAGGAUAUUAUCAUAAGUGCAUCCAUUGUAAUUUUACGGAAUUUCAUUUUCAAAAUCAAAAGGGAAUAAAAUAGGCCAAUAUUUGCAGUGAUUCGUUAACUCUGUGUUGGCAUAAUUAUAUCUAUCCGUCAACCGUUUUGAUGAAACUAAAGGGAAAUGAGAUUAAUCGGUGAGAUUGAUAGGCCAAAAGAUAAAAUCCAUUGCUCUGUUUUCUUUGACCAAAGGAAAGGAAUUCCAGUAAUCCAUUUCCUUAAAAAACAAAAGUUGUUGAUUAAGUACAGUAAAUUAGGUGAAGAAGCUUUCAAACUUUUCUGCAUAUACAUAUAUGUUGCGGAAAGGAUCGAUUCGAGAACUCCGAUAUGACUACAAGUAAAUUGACCGAAACGAAAAAUAAAGUGAGCACAAGGAUUUACGUGGUUCGGCUUUAAUGCCUACGUCCACGGGCAGAGGCGAAAAGAAAUUUCACUAUAACAAGAUGAAGAUUACAAGUGUUUUACACUCAAGACACAACCCGAGAACCUCACAACUCUCAACCCCUAUAGAAAACCCGAAAGCUAAAAUCCUAGCUUUC